GGCGUGCUUAACACAUGCAAGUCGAACGAGAAAGUUCCUUCGGGAAUGAGUAAAGUGGCGCACGGGUGAGUAACGCGUAAGUAAUCUACCUUUGCAUUUGGAAUAACUACGGGAAGCUGUAGCUAAUACCAAAUACGUUCAUAUAGUUACGACUAUAUGAAGAAAGAUGGCCUCUUCUUGAAAGCUAUCGUGCAGAGAGGAGCUUGCGUACCAUUAGCUAGUUGGUAGGGUAAUGGCCUACCAAGGCAACGAUGGUUAGCGGGUCUGAGAGGAUGAUCCGCCACACUGGAACUGGAACACGGACCAGACUCCUACGGGAGGCAGCAGUGAGGAAUAUUGCGCAAUGGGGGAAACCCUGACGCAGCGACGCCGCGUGGAUGAUGAAGGCCUUAGGGUCGUAAAAUCCUGUCAGGUGGGAAGAAAUGUAUGAGGGAACAACACCCCUUGUGCUUGACGGUACCACCAGAGGAAGCACCGGCUAACUCCGUGCCAGCAGCCGCGGUAAUACGGAGGGUGCAAACGUUGUUCGGAAUUACUGGGCGUAAAGCGCGCGUAGGCGGUUUGUUAAGUCAGAUGUGAAAGCCCAUGGCUCAACCAUGGACGUGCAUUUGAUACUGGCAGACUUGAGUACUGGAGGGGAUGGGUGGAAUUCCCGGUGUAGAGGUGAAAUUCGUAGAUAUCGGGAGGAAUACCGGUGGCGAAGGCGACCAUCUGGCCAGAUACUGACGCUGAGUGCGAAAGCAUGGGGAGCAAACAGGAUUAGAUACCCUGUAGUCCAUGCCGUAAACGAUGAGAACUAGGUGUUGGGGCGGUUAAUCGUCUC
rnacentral:rRNA from 1 species